UGAAUAUCAAGUAAUGAAUGUCUAAAGGGCAAAAAAGUUGCCGCUAAGGACUGCAAUCAUAUGUGAUUUGAAGUGAUUGUCAAGACUGAUUCUGGGGAAACCCUUAUACCUCCUGCCAUUCUUCGUCCUAUUCACAGAAUGUCCAAGACAUUCGGAGUCCCUUGGCCGGAUUUCAACGACGGCUUAACCUACAACGACGUCGUCUCAGCCUCCGAUUCUGAGUUGACACUGAUCGACUACUACUCCAGCAAGCACAAGAAUUCCGCUCCCUUGCAAGGAUGGCUACAGCGGAUCAACAAAGGACAGAUAACAGUCGAUGGGACAGUUGUUACGGAGCCCAAGACAAUUCUCAGAGCUGGUUCAAAACUAGUCUAUCACCGACUACCUUGGCAAGAGCCUGAUGCACCAUACUUGCUAGAGAUUUUAUAUGAAGAUGAUGAUGUGAUUGCUCUAAAUAAGCCUUCUGGUCUACAAGUUCUACCUGGUGGACUUUUCCAGCAACGGACUGUUUUGACACAGCUCCAAUGGCGGGCCAACAAGCAAAACUCUUUGCCAGCAUGCCAAGAAUCACAUUCUGUUCCUGUUCAUCGCCUUGGAAGGGGCACAUCAGGAAUAUUACUCUGUGCAAAGACAAAGCUUGCCAAAACUCGCCUUGCAGCAUAUUUUGCAGAUGGAACAUCAGUUGUAGGGGGCAACAGAGAUGCUGAUAUGAAGUCGAGGACAAUGAGGAAAAUAUCAAAGAUAUAUCGGGCACUAGUAAAUGGCAUACUUGACAAGGAUGAGAUUGUUAUCGAGCAGCCAAUCGGAAUGGUGCAAUAUCCUGGGGUUGCCAAAGGGCUGUAUGUUGCUUCUCCCUCAGGGAAACCAGCUUUGAGUAAAGUUUCCAUUCUUGAGAGAGAUGUUCAAGGAGACCACAUGAUUGUCCAGGUUGAGAUUCAGUCAGGACGGCCACAUCAAAUUCGCAUUCAUCUUUCUUUCAUAGGGCACCCACUGUUAGGUGAUCCUCUUUAUGUUCCUGGUGGUCAACCAAAGUGCUGUGAUGCUGAAUUUACCAAUGAAAGUUAUGCACUAGACGGAGGGUAUCAACGGCCAGUGAAACCUGUUCCUGGAGAUUGUGGAUACCAUUUGCAUGCACAUCAAUUGGUUCUUUCCCACCCGACCACAAAUGAGGAAAGUAUUGAGAGGAUAAUUUGGUGCUAGAAAAAGCAUUGCAUGUUCAUCGAUUGUGUGAAACAGGAUUGGACUAAUUUAAUUUCCAUGGGAUACCAAAACCUAAUUUGUUCAGUUUGCAUGGAUAGAGAGGAUGAAAUGGGAAAACACUCAAAAGAGGCAAUAGCGUGAUUAAAAUCACUGCCCCUCUCCCACCUGUCCUAAGAACUAGAGGCGAGGAAGAGGAACUGACCGAGGCUGAGGCUGAGGCUGGAGAGGUCGACCUUGGCAGCGGAGAUGGUUUCAGACUCAUUUCUGACACCAGUGCCCAUACCUGAACCCAGUAGCUGCGCGUGCCGAGUAUGUUGAACUCAGUUUUGAGUGCGGAUCAACAAAACGGACGCCUACGUCUUCUUCAAUCAGCCUUGAAUUCAACCUCGGCUUGAGGGAGCCAGCCUGAAUGAGGUCAAAGUUUUGACUUACGUAACAUAAUGCAGUGUAUUGAUAUCACAUUCAACCCAUCCCUACUCGAUUGAAAGAACGAACAUCUACAGAGACACAAAUCUAAUAUUAUUGGGUAUGGAUGCUUCAACUAUUAAAUUAUUUAUUGUCAGUUACUGUGAAAAUACUAAUAAGCAUUUACGUUGGUUAUUGUGUUAGCUAUA